rnacentral:sRNA from 1 species
ACUUGGCUUAAGGGGCUGCGCGCUCCCUGCCUGCUGCUGGGCGGAGGGAAGGCGGCAAGAGCUGCGGCGCCCCUGGAAGAGCUUCCAGAAACCCUGCGCUGUGGGAUAGAGGAAUGAGGUUCAGAAAGGGGCAGGGAGUUGCCCGCAGCCUCACCGCACGUCUUCAGCCCGACCGUUGUCCUGACCUCUCUGUCCCGUCCCCUGCCCAGUCUCACCAUGGCCUUCUGGACACAGCUGAUGCUGCUGCUCUGGAAGAAUUUCAUGUAUCGCCGGAGACAGCCGGUCCAGCUCCUGGUCGAAUUGCUGUGGCCUCUCUUCCUCUUCUUCAUCCUGGUGGCUGUUCGCCACUCCCACCCGCCCCUGGAGCACCAUGAAUGUGAGCCCCCCCAGGGACCAGGCACUUUGUGUGUGUAGGGGAAGGCAGAUGGCUCACCCGUGCACAGGAAUCCCCCGUGCAUGUCAGGGAGGCUUCACCAGGCUGCCAAUACAUGGCAUGGGAGUGAGCUCUCCAUCGCUGGAGGCAUGCAAGCGGUGCCGGGCGACCCGAUGGGGGUGGAGUCAGGCAGAGUCCACAGGGCCUCAGCACCAGGCGUCUCCCCGCAGGCCACUUCCCAAACAAGCCACUGCCAUCGGCGGGCACCGUGCCCUGGCUCCAGGGUCUCAUCUGUAAUGUGAACAACACCUGCUUUCCGCAGCUGACACCAGGCGAGGAGCCCGGGCACCUGAGCAACUUCAACGACUCCCUGUGAGCCAGAGGCAGUGGGUGCGGCUGGCCUGCAAACUCGGGGCUGCAGUGCCGGCCGGAACCCCGCCUCCUGCCCUCUCUCUGUCCCCAGGGUCUCCCGGCUGCUAGCCGAUGCCCGCACUGUGCUGGGAGGGGCCAGUGCCCACAGGACGCUGGCUGGCCUAGGGAAGCUGAUCGCCAUGCUGAGGGCUGCACGCAGCACGGCCCAGCCUCAACCAACCAAGCAGUCUCCACUGGAACCACCUAUGCUGGAUGUCGCGGAGCUGCUGACGUCACUGCUGCGCAUGGUAGGGUGUCGGGGCGGGACCGCGCUGACUUCCUGGGACACUGCACUGGGGAUGUCCUGGCACUGCCC